AUGAAGAUCUGGACUUCGGAGCAUGUCUUUGACCACCCAUGGGAAACUGUUACCACAGCUGCAAUACAGGAAUACCCAAACCCUAUGAACCCUGGUGUGGUGGGAGUCGAUGUCUUGGACAGACAUACAGAUCCCUCCGGAAAGUUGCACAACCAUAGACUUCUGAGCACAGAGUGGGGACUGCCUUCCAUUGUGAAGUCUCUUAUUGGUGCAGCAAGAACCAAAACAUAUGUGCAAGAACAUUCUGUAGUUGAUCCUGUAGAGAAAACAAUGGAACUUAAAUCUACUAAUAUUUCAUUUACAAAUAUGGUUUCAGUAGAUGAGAGACUUAUAUACAAACCACAUCCCCAGGACCCAGAAAAAACUAUUUUGACUCAAGAAGCCAUAAUCAUUGUGAAAGGAGUCAGCCUUAGCAGUUACCUUGAAGGACUGAUGGCAAGUACCAUAUCUUCAAAUGCUAAUAAAGGCCGAGAAGCAAUGGAAUGGGUAAUACAUAAAUUAAAUGCUGAGAUUGAAGAACUGACGGCUUCAGCAAGAGGAAGCAUAAGGACUCCAAUGGCAGCAGCAGCGUUGUAUAAAAAUGAUAAUACCAGUUGGUAG